GCCUUCGUGGUGUAGUGGUCAACACGCUGGGUAUGUAUUCCAGAUGUCCGUGGUUCCAGUCCUGGCGAAGGCG
rnacentral:tRNA from 1 species